UACGGGGGGGGCAAGCGUUGUUCGGAAUUACUGGGCGUAAAGGGCUCGUAGGUGGCCAACUAAGUCAGACGUGAAAUCCCCAGGCUUAACCUGGGAACUGCGUCUGAUACUGGAUGGCUUGAAUUCGGGAGAGGGAUGCAGAAUUCCAGGUGUAGCGGUGAAAUGCGUAGAUAUCUGGAGGAAUACCGGUGGCGAAGGCGGCAUCCUGGACCGACAUUGACGCUGAGGAGCGAAAGCUAGGGGAGCAAACAGG
rnacentral:rRNA from 1 species